rnacentral:misc_RNA from 1 species
GAUGAAGAACGUAGCGAAAUGCGAUAAGUAGUGUGAAUUGCAGAAUUCAGUGAAUCAUCGAAUCUUUGAACGCACAUUGCGCCCCUUGGUAUUCCAUGGGGCAUGCCUGUUCGAGCGUCAUUUGUACCUUCAAGCUUUGCUUGGUGUUGGGUGUUUGUCUCGCCUUUGCGUGUAGACUCGCCUUAAAAUAAUUGGCAGCCGGCGUAUUGAUUUCGGAGCGCAGUACAUCUCGCGCUUUGCACUCAUAACGACAGCGUCCAAAAGUACAUUUUACACUCUUGACCUCGGAUCAGGUAGGGAUACCCGCUGUACUUAAGCAUAUCAAUAAGCGGAGGA